rnacentral:piRNA from 1 species
GGCUAGGAUGUUUGGGUCUUGCAGA